GAGUGGCGAACGGGUGAGUAACACGUGGGAAACCUACCUCUUAGCAGGGGAUAACAUUUGGAAACAGAUGCUAAUACCGUAUAACAAUGACAACCGCAUGGUUGUUAUUUAAAAGAUGGUUCUGCUAUCACUAAGAGAUGGUCCCGCGGUGCAUUAGCUAGUUGGUAAGGUAAUGGCUUACCAAGGCGAUGAUGCAUAGCCGAGUUGAGAGACUGAUCGGCCACAAUGGGACUGAGACACGGCCCAUACUCCUACGGGAGGCAGCAGUAGGGAAUCUUCCACAAUGGGCGAAAGCCUGAUGGAGCAACGCCGCGUGUGUGAUGAAGGGUUUCGGCUCGUAAAACACUGUUGUAAGAGAAGAAUGACAUUGAGAGUAACUGUUCAAUGUGUGACGGUAUCUUACCAGAAAGGAACGGCUAAAUACGUGCCAGCAGCCGCGGUAAUACGUAUGUUCCAAGCGUUAUCCGGAUUUAUUGGGCGUAAAGCGAGCGCAGACGGUUAU
rnacentral:rRNA from 1 species